UAAUACAGGGGGCUCGAGCGUUAGUCGGAAUCACUGGGCUUAAAGGGUGCGUAGGUGGCUCGCCAAGUGUUUUGUGAAAUCCCACAGCUCAACUGUGGAACAGCAGGGCAAACUGGCGAGCUUGAGGCAGGUAGGGGCCGGAAGAACAGUAGGUGGAGCGGUGAAAUGCGUAGAUAUCUACUGGAAUGCCGAUGGGGAAGCCGUCCGGCUGGGCCUGUCCUGACACUGAGGCACGAAAGCGUGGGGAGCAAACAGG
rnacentral:rRNA from 1 species